CAUAGCGUAGAUACUGGUGGUAGGCGACCGUAGCGUAGACACUGGGGGUAGGCGACCGUAGCGUAGGCACUGGGGGUAGGUUACCGUAGCGUAGACACUGGGGGUAGGUUACCGUAGCGUAGACACUGGGGUUAGGUUACCGUAGCGUAGACACUGGGGGUAGGCGACCGUAGACACUGGGGGUAGGUUACCGUAGACACUGGGGGUAGGUUACCGUAGCGUAGACACUGGGGGUAGGCGACCGUAGCGUAGACACUGGGGGUAGGCGACCAUAGACACUGGGGGUAGGCGACCGUAGCGUAGACACUGGGGGUAGGUUACCGUAGCGUAGACACUGGGGUAGGUUACCGUAGCGUAGACACUGGGGGAAGGUUACCGUAGCGUAGACCCUGGGGGUAGGUUACCGUAGCGUAGGAACUGGGGGUAGGUUACCGUAGCGUAGACACUGGGGGUAGGUUACCGUAGCGUAGACACUGGGGUAGGUUACCGUAGCGUAGACACUGGGGGUAGGUUACCGUAGCAUAGACACUGGGGUAGGUUACUGUAGACACUGGGGGUAGGUUACCGUAGCGUAGAUACUGGGGGUAGGCGACCGUAGCGUAGACACUGAGGGUAGGUUACCGUAGCGUAGGCACUGGGGGUAGGUUACCAUAGCGUAGAUACUGGGGGUAGGCGACCGUAGCGUAGACACUGAGGAUAGGUUACCGUAGCGUAGACACUGGGGGUAGGUUACCGUAGACACUGGGGGUAGGUUACCGUAGUGUAGGCACUGGGGGUAGGUUACUGUAGUGUAGGCACUGGGGUUAGGUUACCGUAGCGUAGACACUGGGGGUAGGUUACCGUAGCGUAGACACUGGGGUUAGGUUACCGUAGCGUAGACACUGGGGUUAGGUUACCGUAGCGUAGACACUGGGGGUAUGUUACCGUAGCGUAGACACUGGGGGUAGGUUACUGUAGCGUAGACACUGGGGGUAGGUUACCAUAGCGUAGAUACUGGGGGUAGUUUACCGUAGUGUAGACACUGGGGGUAGGUUACCAUAGCGUAGAUACUGGGGGUAGUUUACCGUAG